CCUACGGGCGGCAGCAGUGAGGAAUAUUGGUCAAUGGGCGAGAGCCUGAACCAGCCAAGUCGCGUGAGGGAGUACUGCCCUAUGGGUUGUAAACCUCUUUUGUCGGGGAGCAAAAGCCGGACGUGUCUGGGUGUGAGAGUACCCGAAGAAAAAGCAUCCGCUAACUCCGUGCCAGCAGCCGCGGUAAUACGGAGGAUGCGAGCGUUAUUCGGAUUUUUUGGGUUUAAAGGGUGCGCAGGCGGAUUAUUAAGUCAGCGGUAAAAUCGUGGGGCUCAACCCCAUCCAGCCGUUGAAACUGGGGAUCUAGAGUGUGCGAGAAGUAUGCGGAAUGCGUGGUGUAGCGGUGAAAUGCAUAGAUAUCACGCAGAACCCCGAUUGCGAAGGCAGCAUACCGGUGCACAACUGACGCUCAGGCACGAAAGCGUGGGUAUCGAACAGGAUUAGAUACCCCAGUAGUC
rnacentral:rRNA from 1 species